rnacentral:rRNA from 1 species
UUGUGGUUAAAAAGCUCGUAGUUGGAUCUCGGCGGACUGAGGGCGGUUUGCUUGCUAGUAUUACUGCCCUAUAGUCCGUAGUUUUGCCAGAGGUUUCGGGGUGCUCUUAAUCGAGUGUCCCGGGAUGCUGGCAGGUUUACUUUGAAAAAAUUAGAGUGCUCAAAGCAGGCUAUUACGCCUGAAUAUUCGUGCAUGGAAUAAUAGAAUAGGAAGUCGUUUCUAUUUUGUUGGUUUUCGGAAAUCGACUUAAUGAUUAAUAGGGACAGUCGGGGGCAUUUGUACUCAAACGACAGGGGUGAAAUUCUUGGACCGUUUGAAGACAAACUACUGCGAAAGCAUUUGCCAAGAAUGUUUUCAUUAAUCAAGAACGAAAGUUAAAGGUUCGAAGGCGAUUAGAUACCGCCCUAGUUUUAACCAUAAACGAUGCCAGCUGGCGAUCUGCGGACGUUUUUUUUUGUAGACUCCGCAGGAAGCUUCCGGGAAACCAAAGCGUUUGGGUUCCAGGGGAAGUAUGGUUGCAAAGCUGAAACUUAAAGGAAUUGACGGAAGGGCACCACCAGGAGUGGAGCCUGUGGCUUAAUUUGACUCAACACGGGAAAUCUCACCAAGCCCGGACACUGGA